UGGGGAAUAUUGCACAAUGGGCGCAAGCCUGAUGCAGCCAUGCCGCGUGUGUGAAGAAGGCCUUCGGGUUGUAAAGCACUUUCAGCGGGGAGGAAGGCGUUAAGGUUAAUAACCUUGGCGAUUGACGUUACCCGCAGAAGAAGCACCGGCUAACUCCGUGCCAGCAGCCGCGGUAAUACGGAGGGUGCAAGCGUUAAUCGGAAUUACUGGGCGUAAAGCGCACGCAGGCGGUCUGUCAAGUCGGAUGUGAAAUCCCCGGGCUCAACCUGGGAACUGCAUUCGAAACUGGCAGGCUAGAGUCUUGUAGAGGGGGGUAGAAUUCCAGGUGUAGCGGUGAGAUGCGUAGAGAUCUGGAGGAAUACCGGUGGCGAAGGCGGCCCCCUGGACAAAGACUGACGCUCAGGUGCGAAAGCGUGGGGAGCAAACAGG
rnacentral:rRNA from 1 species